UCCGGGAAACCGGAGCUAAUACCGGGUAACACCAAAGACCGCAUGGUCUUCGGUUGAAAGGCGGCUUCGGCUGUCACUUGCGGAUGGGCCCGCGGCGCAUUAGCUAGUUGGUGAGGUAACGGCUCACCAAGGCGACGAUGCGUAACCGGCCUGAGAGGGUGACCGGACACUCUGGGACUGAGACACGGCCCAUACUCCUACGGGAUGCCGCAGUAUGGAAUCUUCCGCAAUGAGACGAUAGUCUGACGGUAGCGACGCCGCGUGAAGCGAAAGAAAGGCCUUCGGGUCGUAAAGCUCUGUUGUGAGGGACGAAGGAGCGCCGUUUGAAUAAGGCGGCGCGGUGACGGUACCUCACGAGAAAGCCCCGGCUAACUACUUGCCAGCAGCCGCGGUAAUUCGUAGGGGGCGACCGUUGUCCGGAAUUAUUGGGCGUAAAGCGCGCGCAGGCGGUCCUUUAAGUCUGAUGUGAAAGCCCACGGCUCAACCGUGGAGGGUCAUUGGAAACUGGGGGACUUGAGUGCAGGAGAGGAGAGCGGAAUUCCACGUGUAGCGGUGAAGUGCGUAGAGAUGUGGAGGAACACCAGUGGCGAAGGCGGCUCUCUGGCCUGUAAGUGACGAUGAGGCGCGAAAGCGUGGGGAGCAAACAGGAUUAGAUAACCCUGGUAGUCCACGCCGUAAAACGAUGAGUGCUAAGUGUUAGAGGGGUCACACCCUUUAGUGCUGCAGCUAACGCGAUAAGCACUCCGCCUGGGGAGUACGGCCGCAAGGCUGAAACUCAAAGGAAUUGACGGGGGCCCGCACAAGCGGUGGAGCAUGUGGUUUAAUUCCAAGCAACGCGAAGAACCUUACCAGGUCUUGACAUCCCCUGACAACCCAAGAGAUUGGGCGUUCCCCCUUCGGGGGGACAGGGUGACAGGUGGUGCAUGGUUGUCGUCAGCUCGUGUCGUGAGAUGUUGGGUUAAGUCCCGCAACGAGCGCAACCCUUGCCUCUAGUUGCCAGCAUUCAGUUGGGCACUCUAGAGGGACUGCCGGCUAAAAGUCGGAGGAAGGUGGGGAUGACGUCAAAUCAUCAUGCCCCUUAUGACCUGGGCUACACACGUGCUACAAUGGG
rnacentral:rRNA from 2 species